rnacentral:rRNA from 1 species
CCCCCCGAAUUGUAGUCUAGAAAUGCGCCAUCGGCCGCGUCCGUCGCUCAAAUCCCUUGGAACAGGGUAUCGGAGAAGGUGAGAGUCCUGUACCGUGGCGGAUCGCGGCCGCACGAUGCGUUUUUGCAGAGUCGGGUUGCUUGGGAUUGCAGCUUGAAUUGGGUGGUAAAUUCCAUCUAAAGCUAAAUAUUGGUUCAUGACCGAUAGCGAACAAGUACCGUGAGGGAAAGAUGCAAAGAACUUUGAAAAGAGAGUUAAAGAGUGCUUGAAACCGGCGAGAGGAAACCCGUUUGUGCCCGGUUUUGCGUCAACAAUUCAGCCGUUUUCAUCGGUGCAUUUUGGAGACGCAGGUCAGCUUCGAUUCUGAGUGUGUCAUAAACGCCUGGGGGGCUUUUUGUGAGCCAGGUUUUACCACGCUCGGGAUUUUGGCUGACGGAACGGGCACAACCGACCCGUCUAGAAACACGGACCAAGGAGUCUGACACGGAUGCGAGUACCCGGGUGGCAAACCCGCGUGCGCAAUGAAAGUAAAGGGCGUGCCCCGCCAACCGACCUUGAUCUUCUGUGAAGGGUUUGAGUCGAGCAUCACUGUCGGGACCCGAAAGAUGGUGAACUAUGCCUGAAUAGGUUGAAGUCUGCCGAAAGGCAGAUGGAGGACCGUAGCGAUACUGACGUGCAAAUCGUUCGUCGAAUUUGGGUAUAGGGGCGAAAGACUAAUCGAACCAUCUAGUAGCUGGUUCCCUCCGAAGUUUCCCUCAGGAUAGCUUGGACGCAAGGGUUUUGU